CUUGAAAUCUUUCUGGGAAGACGUUCAGAAAGACCACGUGAGCAAAAACUUGUACCUUUCUGUGGUGGGGGAGAAGUAAACCUUUUGAAUUUCCCAUUAAAGGCAUUCUCUCCAGGAACAAUUUUCCACAGACCACUAGGAAUAGACCUGCAGUUGCCUGGAGGAAAAGGAAACACCAAGCACCAGGCAGACAGGGCAAUACUGAGAUCAACAUGCAAAUAAGAGCCAACAGUUCAAAUCAGACUUAAUGCAGGCCAUGUUUUCAGAUCGAAAGAGGUGCAGAGUGCUGAAUGUAGUCUUUUUCCUUUUAAAACAAACUCAAGAGUAAGGAAUUAAAGAAAGGGGAUGGAA